UUUCUCCUCCCCUUUCCAGUCCAGGGCCUGGGAAGCUUGGCUGUGUCUGCCUAGUGUCAAUUUUGAUUCCUCUCUGCUGCCAUUCUCCCCCUAGACUGGCACCUCUGCUGGGAGGGGCCGGGUAACCGGCUUCGCCUCUGCAAGACUAGAGAGAAGGCAUCCGCCUCAGCACAGGAGACGCGGCCACCGCAGAAAUAAGGGUCUCUGCCCCAACGGAACAAGCGCAGCCCACAGUCCGGAAAAGGGUGUGGCCGGCCGAGGGGUGCGGGGGAGUGUGGGCCGCGGGCACUGCAGCAGCCGCACCACCUCCUCCCGUAGCCUCCCUCCGUCCAGCAGCCGCCUCUGCCGCGCUGCAGUCUGGCGGCUGGAGGCUUGAAGUGAGCUGCUCCUCGUCGUCCAGUAGCUGCCUCGCUGCUCGAAGGCUCCGUUCUUUCUCGUCGCGGACCCGGCGCCAGCCCAGGUAGAGGGCGAGGCCGAAGAGCACGAAACCCACGCUGAGUCCCACUGCCCCGGCCAAAUACACAGGUAAGGGCUCUGUACACAUCAAAUCUCUAGAAA
rnacentral:antisense_RNA from 1 species